GAGUGCUACAUAAAGGUACUAUGCAAAA
rnacentral:piRNA from 1 species